AUUGAACGCUGGCGGCAUGCCUUACACAUGCAAGUCGAACGGCAGCACGGGAGCAAUCCUGGUGGCGAGUGGCGAACGGGUGAGUAAUACAUCGGAACGUGCCCAAUCGUGGGGGAUAACGCAGCGAAAGCUGUGCUAAUACCGCAUACGAUCUACGGAUGAAAGCAGGGGAUCGCAAGACCUUGCGCGAAUGGAGCGGCCGAUGGCAGAUUAGGUAGUUGGUGAGGUAAAGGCUCACCAAGCCGUCGAUCUGUAGCUGGUCUGAGAGGACGACCAGCCACACUGGGACUGAGACACGGCCCAGACUCCUACGGGAGGCAGCAGUAGGGAAUUUUGGACAAUGGGCGAAAGCCUGAUCCAGCCAUGCCGCGUGCAGGAUGAAGGCCUUCGGGUUGUAAACUGCUUUUGUACGGAACGAAACGGCCUUUUCUAAUAAAGAGGGCUAAUGACGGUACCGUAAGAAUAAGCACCGGCUAACUACGUGCCAGCAGCCGCGGUAAUACGUAGGGUGCAAGCGUUAAUCGGAAUUACUGGGCGUAAAGCGUGCGCAGGCGGUUAUGUAAGACAGUUGUGAAAUCCCCGGGCUCAACCUGGGAACUGCAUCUGUGACUGCAUAGCUAGAGUACGGUAGAGGGGGAUGGAAUUCCGCGUGUAGCAGUGAAAUGCGUAGAUAUGCGGAGGAACACCGAUGGCGAAGGCAAUCCCCUGGACCUGUACUGACGCUCAUGCACGAAAGCGUGGGGAGCAAACAGG
rnacentral:rRNA from 1 species